UACAGAGAAUGCAAGCGUUAUCCGGAAUCACUGGGCUUAAAGCGCGUGUAGGCGGGAGGGCACGUCCGUCGCUGAAAUCCCCCGGCUCAAACGGGGAACGGGCGCGGAUACGACCUUCCUGGAGGGGCGUAGGGGGACCUGGAACUUCCGGUGGAGCGGUGAAAUGCGUUGAGAUCGGAAGGAACGCCCGUGGCGAAAGCGAGGUCCUGGACGCCUACUGACGCUGAGACGCGAAAGCCAGGGGAGCGAACGGG
rnacentral:rRNA from 1 species